UACAGAGACUGCAAGCGUUAUUCGGAUUCACUGGGCGUAAAGGGUGCGCAGGCGGCCAAGUGUGUUAGGCGUGAAAGCCCGGGGCUUAACCCCGGGUCGGCCGUGCCGACUGAAAAGCUGGAGCACUGUAGAGGCAGGUGGAAUUCCGGGUGUAGCGGUGAAAUGCGUAGAUAUCUGGAGGAACACCGGUGGCGAAGGCGGCAUCCUGGACCGAUACUGACGCUGAGGAGCGAAAGCCAGGGGAGCAAAGCGGGG
rnacentral:rRNA from 1 species